rnacentral:rRNA from 1 species
AAUGGGGGAAACCCUGAUGCAGCGACGCCGCGUGAGCGAUGAAGCCCUUCGGGGUGUAAAGCUCUUUCGACGGGAACGAUAAUGACGGUACCCGGAGAAGAAGCUGCGGCUAACUACGUGCCAGCAGCCGCGGUAAUACGUAGGCAGCAAACGUUGUUCGGAAUUACUGGGCGUAAAGAGUGUGUAGGCGGUUAGGUAAGUUUGGUGUGAAAUCUCCCGGCUUAACUGGGAGGGUGCGCCGAAAACUGCCUGGCUUGAGUACUGGAGAGGAUAGCGGAAUUCCUGGUGUAGCGGUGAAAUGCGUAGAUAUCAGGAGGAACACCUGCGGUGUAGACGGCUGUCUGGACAGUAACUGACGCUGAGACACGAAAGCGUGGGGAGCAAA